GUACCGAACGCUCAUUCGACGGUAGAGGCGAUUAAAACGACUGUUGCUUAUUAUUCACUGCUCUCCUGUACUUAUCACGUCAGUGUAAUGACUUAUUUUGAUAAUAGCGAGAGAGAAAAUGUAAUAGACUAUUAAACUUAUCCUGAAUUCCCUCCCUAAGACGGCGGUCGUUGUUCGUAAAGAUGAAAAACCUUUACAGUUGUACGUCAAUACUUUUCUUGUAGGCGGUGGAAAAUUGGCUACAAUGCGAAUCAAUCACUAACGACCUGAUGCCCAGUGAUUUGUUGCUGUACAGUCGUACUUACAGAAAGUCACAUGAUAGCAAUCCAAAAGGGAAUGUUCAACCCAAAGCAAUUACCGGGGAAACAUUGGGAAAACCUGAAAUCAGUUACAUUAGCGGCACCUGUUCUUACUUGGGGGUCUCCAGCACUCACCAAAGCCGCGGCACAGCUUAUCUACAGGAAUCUGGAGCGGGUGGAAUCCAAGAGGGAACUGGAGAUUUUUCAGGACCAAAGCGGGGCCGGAGCGCUACUUGCUGAACUCUGGUUGGAGUGUAAGGGCAGAUCAGGGCCAUAAGAAUAGUAGGAAUCUUCCACCACCAGCACCACCACCACCAGUAUCACCACUAACAUUAGAGCUCCGAGCAGAAGAGAAUAUACGUGCAUUGUCAAGCUGCGUGAAAACAUGUGGGAUGCAGCUGUGGAGCAGAAAAGAGUACAUCUGCUCGGAGAGAUAGACCCAGAGAAUCACAGUUAGACAGACCACAGUUCUUAGCUGACAUAGUGAGGCACAGGCUCAGAGCCGAGGCACAUAUACAUGCAUGAGAACAAAAAUCUGA